rnacentral:rRNA from 1 species
CGGGAUUAGAUACCCCGGUAGUCCACGCCGUAAACGAUGCACACUAGGUCGCGGUACCUCUCAUGGUUUCGCGGCCGAAGGUAAACUGGUAAGUGUGCCGCCUGGGGAGUACGGUCGCAAGGCUAAAACUCAAAGGAAUUGACGGGGGCUCACACAAGCGGUGGAGCAUGUUGCUUAAUUCGAGGCAACGCGAAGAACCUUACCUAGGCUUGACAUGUAUGGAUUAACUUUUCGAAAGAUUAGCCACACCCUUGGGUGGAACAUACACAGGUGCUGCAUGGCUGUCGUCAGCUCGUGCUGUGAAGUGUCGGGUUAAGUCCCUUAACGAGCGCAACCCCUAUCGUUAGUUACUAACGCGUUAUGGCGAGGACUCUAGCGAGACUGCCGGUGUCAAACCGGAGGAAGGUGGGGAUGACGUCAAGUCAGCAUGGCCCUUAUGCCUAGGGAUGCAAACGUGCUACAAUGGUACGGACAAAGCGAUGCGAUACCGCGAGGUGGAGCAAAUCGCAAAAACCGUGCCCCAGUUCGGAUAGCAGGCUGAAAUUCGCCUGCUUGAAGCCGGAAUCGCUAGUAAUCGCGUAUCAGCUACGACGCGGUGAAUACGUUCCUGAGCCUUGUACACACCGCCCGUCAAGUCAUGGAAGCUGUUAGUGCCCGAAGUCACUUCGUUUCAGGAGUGCCUACGGCAAGAAUGGUGACUGGGACUAAGUCGUAACAAGGUA